GACGAACGCUGGCGGCGUGCUUAACACAUGCAAGUCGAACGGAAAGGCCUCUUUCGGGGGGUACUCGAGUGGCGAACGGGUGAGUAACACGUGAGUAACCUGCCCUUGACUUUGGGAUAACUUCAGGAAACUGGGGCUAAUACCGGAUAGGAGCUCCUGCUGCAUGGUGGGGGUUGGAAAGUUUCGGCGGUUGGGGAUGGACUCGCGGCUUAUCAGCUUGUUGGUGGGGUAGUGGCUUACCAAGGCUUUGACGGGUAGCCGGCCUGAGAGGGUGACCGGCCACAUUGGGACUGAGAUACGGCCCAGACUCCUACGGGAGGCAGCAGUGGGGAAUAUUGCACAAUGGGUGGAAGCCUGAUGCAGCAACGCCGUGUGCGGGAUGACGGCCUCGGUGUAACGCUUCGCUCAUGACGAAGCUUAGUGUG
rnacentral:rRNA from 1 species